AAAGACUGAAAUGUAUGCCUCUGUUAUCUGGGCGGGCUCCCAACUUCAAUGCUUGAAAUGUAAAGACUGAAAUGUAUGCCUCUGUUCUAUGGGCGGGCUCCCAACUUCAACACUUGAAAUGUAAAGACUGAAAUGUAUGCCUCUGUUCUAUGGGCGGGCUCCCAACUUCAACACUUGAAAUGUAAAGACUGAAAUGUAUGCCUCUGUUCUAUGGACGGGCUCCCAACUUCAAUACUUGAAAUGAAAAGACUGAAAUGUAUGCCUCUAUUCUAUGGGCGGGCUCCCAACUUCAACACUUGGAAUGAAAAGACUGAAAUGUAUGCCUCUGUUCUAUGGGCGGGCUCCCAACUUCAACAUUUGGAAUAAAAAGACUGAAAUGUAUGCCUUUGUUCUAUGGGCGGGCUCCCAACUUCAACACUUGAAAUGAAAAGACUGAAAUGUAUGCCUCUGUUCUAUGGGCGGGCUCCUAACUUCAACAACAACUUUAAAAAUAAACGUCAUUCCUCUCUUCAGGCGGGCUCCUGACUUCAACCAAUAAAUCGUCAUUCUGUUAUUUAGGGGGGCUCCUGACUUCAACCAAUACUUGAACUGUGUGUCUCCGUUCUUCAGGCGGACUCCUGACAUCAGACUUGAAAAGUAUGUCUCUGUUCUCCAGGCGGACUCCUGAUUGCUAAAUUUAAAAUUGAAUGUCUCUAUUCUCCAGGCGGACUCC
rnacentral:lncRNA from 1 species